UACGUAGGGUGCAAGCGUUGUCCGGAAUUAUUGGGCGUAAAGAGCUCGUAGGCGGUCUGUCGCGUCGGCUGUGAAAACUCGGGGCUCAACCCCGAGCCUGCAGUCGAUACGGGCAGACUUGAGUGCUGUAGGGGAGACUGGAAUUCUGGUGUAGCGGUGAAAUGCGCAGAUAUCAGGAGGAACACCAGUGGCGAAGGCGGCA
rnacentral:rRNA from 1 species